GUCUUCCGUGCUUUGUCUCUUCAACGUGCGGACAGUGUGAGCGGUCGCUCUUGUUCUACAACCACAGGUGGCGCUUCGCAAGUAAACAACAACACAUGGAAGUUGCCUGAAACACAGACCUGAACAUUUUUACCUAAAAAAUCAGGUAGCUUUACGUGACACCAUAAGAAACAUCAUGUUCUGCUAUGUGAGAAAGUGGAUAACAACACAAGAAUACAAGAUGUUGAUCUUGCUACAGUGAAUUCAUUUGCAUAUACAACCAGACCAGCAGUCCAUAUUACCAGGCAGAAAAUGAUGAAUAUUCAUUGAAAUCAUCUUGAAACUGCAAAACUCAGGAAAACUAGAGAACUGACACCAAGUCCAGAGCAACUUCUGAGAGGCAUAUAUAUCUUUCAGCGGGGCCAAGGGUGGUGGGUGGCGCGUAGGUUCCACGCCAGCCGAUCGCCUAUGAUAGGCGAUCGCUUCCGCUUGGAUAAUCCCAACUGUCUUAAUGCGCGAAAUGCUGCCGAAAUUUUCAAAAAAGUUUCGUUAUCAUUUAUUGGAUUGUAUGUGUUGUUUGAAAUACAUUACGCUACAAAAGAGUUGUAGUACAAUGAAAAUGUUGUUGCAAUUAGUUUUAUUCAAGUCCAGAAUUUUAACUAAGUCCAGAAUAGGACUCUACCGUUACAUUAAGUCCUGAAUAUUUUACUAAGUCCAGAAUUUUAACUAAGUCCAGAAUAGGACUCUACCAUUUACACGAAGUCCAGAAUAUUAACUAUGUCCAGUAUAGGACUCUACCAUUUACAUAAGUCCUGAAUAUUUACUAAGUCCAGAAUGUGUCCUGAAUAUUUACUAAGUCCAGAAUAGGACUCUACCGUUACAUUAAAAGUCCUGAAUAUUUACUAAGUCCAGAAUUUUAACUAAGUCCAGAAUAGGACUCUACCAUUUACAUUUAGUCCUGAAUUAUAAAUUAGUCCAGAAUAGGACUCAACAAUUUACAUUAAUUUAA